rnacentral:rRNA from 1 species
AACGAACGCUGGCGGCAGGCUUAACACAUGCAAGUCGAACGCCCCGCAAGGGGAGUGGCAGACGGGUGAGUAACGCGUGGGAACGUGCCCUUCGCUUCGGAAUAGCCCCCGGGAAACUGGGAGUAAUACCGGAUACGCCGUAUUGGGAAAGAUUUAUCGGCGAAGGAUCGGCCCGCGUUAGAUUAGCUAGUUGGCGGUGUAAUGGACCACCAAGGCUACGAUCUAUAGCUGGUCUGAGAGGAUGAUCAGCCACACUGGGACUGAGACACGGCCCAGACUCCUACGGGAGGCAGCAGUGGGGAAUCUUGGACAAUGGGCGCAAGCCUGAUCCAGCCAUGCCGCGUGAGUGAAGAAGGCCUUAGGGGUUGUAAAGCUCUUUUGCCAGGGAAGAUGAUGACUGUACCUGGAGAAUAAGCCCCGGCUAACUUCGUGCCAGCAGCCGCGGUAAU